GACGAACGCUGGCGGCGUGCUUAACACAUGCAGGUCGAACGGAAAGGCCCUGCUUUUGUGGGGUGCUCGAGUGGCGAACGGGUGAGUAACACGUGAGUAACCUGCCCUUGACUUUGGGAUAACUUCAGGAAACUGGGGCUAAUACCGGAUAGGAGCUCCUGCUGCAUGGUGGGGGUUGGAAAGUUUCGGCGGUUGGGGAUGGACUCGCGGCUUAUCAGCUUGUUGGUGGGGUAGUGGCUUACCAAGGCUUUGACGGGUAGCCGGCCUGAGAGGGUGACCGGCCACAUGGGGACUGAGAUACGGCCCAGACGCCUACGGGAGGCAGCAGGGGGGAAUAUUGCACAAUGGGCGGAAGCCUGAUGCAGCAACGCCGCGUGCGGGAUGACGGCCUUCGGGUUGUAAACCGCUUUCGCCUGUGACGAAGCGUGAGUGACGGUAAUGGGUAAAGAAGCACCGGCUAACUACGUG
rnacentral:rRNA from 1 species